rnacentral:rRNA from 1 species
GACGAACGCUGGCGGCGUGCUUAACACAUGCAAGUCGAACGGUAAGGCCCUUCGGGGUACACGAGUGGCGAACGGGUGAGUAACACGUGGGUGAUCUGCCCUGCACUUCGGGAUAAGCCUGGGAAACUGGGUCUAAUACCGGAUAGGGCCACUGCCUGCAUGGGUGGUGGUGGAAAGCUUUUGCGGUGUGGGAUGGGCCCGCGGCCUAUCAGCUUGUUGGUGGGGUGAUGGCUUACCAAGGCGACGACGGGUAGCCGGCCUGAGAGGGUGACCGGCCACACUGGGACUGAGAUACGGCCCAGACUCCUACGGGAGGCAGCAGUGGGGAAUAUUGCACAAUGGGCGCAAGCCUGAUGCAGCGACGCCGCGUGAGGGAUGACGGCCUUCGGGUUGUAAACCUCUUUCAGCACCGACGAAGCGCAAGUGACGGUAGGUGCAGAAGAAGGACCGGCCAACUACGUGCCAGCAGCCGCGGUAA